GGGACAGGUACUUGUCCAAGGUUGCACAGCAGAGAUAUGAUUCAUGAUGCAUAGUCUCUCAGCAUACUGAUGGAGCAUGAAGAAGGAGGAAUGGGAAGCUCAGAACUCCUUUUCUCUUCUCCAUCAGUCACAUCAGCAGAGGACACGGUCAUGAUCUCAC